ACGUACUGACUUAAUUAUAAACGUAUAGACACAGGGCUAGAACCAUCCGACAAAACCAAAUGUCUAAUUUAGAUUUCAUUAUAAGGGCUCUAACAAGAACAUCCAUCAUAACAACUAUUUUUAUUAAUCCCCUAGCUAGUGGAUUAUUAUUUUUUGACCUGCUUAAUCUAAUAGUUAAAUGACUGAUAAAAUUUGUUUUUGUUACAAUAUAUAACAUUGAGACUGUUAUAUAGCUACAAAAAUCUUGAUCAAAAAGAGAAUUUUUACCAUGUUUUCUUGCUUAAUUUUUUUUUUGGGGUCAAAUCUUGCUUAAUCUUUCAUAUUUCAAAAAACGAAAAGCAUUAGGGCAAACAUGUGUAACUCUUCUUGAUACUUAGGUGGGGGUAGUGAAUAUAAAUGCUACAUGCGUCCGAAUCUAACCAUGUCCAUAAUGUGUUUAUUUCUAUAUUAUAUUAAAGUCCAUCAUCGAAUACUCUAUCAAAUCCAAAAUAAUGGGUGUAAUUUACUUUUUACAAAAGUGAAGAGAGAGAGAGUGGGGGAGAUGAUUCUGAAUGCAGUUGUGUGGUCGAUUAAUCAUUUGCAAAUGACUACACAUGUAGAAAAGCAUCUUUAAUGCUCCAAAAUGCAUCUAUUGAUUUUAAUCUUGAUCAAACCAUCAUACUCUCCACCUCGCUACGUAUCAUUUUUAAUGCAAAUACUAAAUAUAAUUAAAAACGCAAGCUGUGGAACAAUACUUCUUGCAAUCGUGCGACGCACCUGACACUUGCAAGCUCCGUUACUAAGCUGGCUAAGUAUGGCUACAUUCUGACCAUUCUAACUUCCGUUUAUGGUGACAGAAGUUAUGUAGGAUGUGGCUAGCUAAAAUCAGUCUGAUGACUCUGAUUUAAUUGCUAGUUAAAAAUUUUUUUUUUUAUGUUGUAACACACGUUGUCUUUUUAAUUAACUGAUUUUAAUUUCCCUUAAUAUAUAAAAGUACUGAAUCAUAUCUUAUCAUUAAGAACCAAAAGAAUUCACACCUUAACUAUAAUAUUCUUUUAACACUAAUCUUUUGCUCGAAAUACAGGCUUAUAUAGCGUUAUGCACAUUUACCCAAAAUAACUGUUUUAUAGUUGUCUACAUGUUAAUCAAGUUCUUAGACAGCAGAGUUACAAUCUCAAACCAUCUACAUUGUUUAAACCAUGUAUCUAUUUGUGUUCCUAUUGAUUUUUUUUUUAUAUUUUGUUCACGAAUCUAUCCUAUACUAAAAGGAAGAUAUAAUCAAAGGAGAGUGUGUCCACGUAGGCAUUUUAAUUCCAUCCAAUUAGAAACUUCCGUUUCUCCACGUCACUUCAGCUCUCCGUAAUACCUUUGCGUAGAAGAAGCCCAUUUAAUUUUCCACAUAGGCCCAGUUUUUGGUUUGCACGCCUCCAACCCUGAUACGGCAUAAUCGAUGAACUGAAAUUCUUCUCUCCUCUGCGUGUGAUGGAGUUUUGGUGACCUUUGCGCUUCGUCUCACUAUCUGAAACGGUCUGAGUUAUGGCUUCGUGUUUAAUCCCCUUGAUUCUCGCCCAUGGUGAGGCUUUGAAUGUGCUGUCUAGAUCUAAAAGCCUGUGUGUGUUGGGUAUAAAUAUAGGGUGUUCUUCUCCAAUCUGAAGUUCGGCAAGUGUUCCUCCGCUAGGCUGUUGUGGAUCUGGGAAUUUGAUGGCCUAAACCAGCAUGAUUACAGAUGCAUUUAAUACCCCCUUUCGAUUGAGCUCAUCACUACGAUAAGAAAGUGUUUGGUUUCAUCCAAGGAUAUGAGCGUGUCUUGGAUACUGCUUGCUUUGAUCACAGAGGUAAACCAGAACAUCCGGACUUUACACUCGAGAAAGAUGGAGCCAUAUGCGUAAGUAGACAUUCUAAAGUAUCUGUAUGAUGCAAGGAUCUCAGAGUCUGUUUGUGAGGCCUGCUGCAUUUUGUUUCUGUCGCAGACCAGAAGAAGAACGUUUGGCAAUGGAGGUGUGUUUAUGCAUCAAAUAACUAAAGUAUCUCUCUUUCACGGCUCUCUGACUCCGUAAGCUCCUAAUCUGACCCUUGGGUUAUCAUGAUAUGAGAUUCUCAAUUACUGUUUGGAGUCUUUAUCUUUUUCAAAGUUGUGCGUAGUCUUGAGGUGUUAAAGGUAUGAUUGUAUUUACUUUUUCCUCCUGCUAUUGAGUAGUACUAAAUAAUAAGAUUUUAUUUUGUUGUUUUAGUUUCUCUGUGAAUAUAACAUUGUAAAUGUCUUCACUUGGUAUCAAGGUCAUCGAGAAAGAGAGAGUGUACCAAUUGUAAAUUUAUUGUGCAAAAACAUUUAUUUAUUUAUUUUUAUACAAUUUUUUAGUAA